UACGUAGGGUGCGAGCGUUAAUCGGAAUUACUGGGCGUAAAGCGUGCGCAGGCGGUUUUAUAAGCCAGAUGUGAAAGCCCCGGGCUCAACCUGGGAAUGGCAUUUGGGACUGUAAGGCUGGAGUAUGGCAGAGGGGACUAGAAUUCCUGGUGUAGCAGUGAAAUGCGUAGAGUAUCAGGAGGAAUACCGAUGGCGAAGGCAGGUCCCUGGGCCAAUACUGACGCUCAUGCACGAAAGCGUGGGGAGCAAACAG
rnacentral:rRNA from 1 species